UCACCUCUGUUCCCAGUUUCUUAGCAUUCAGAAAGCAACAGUACCCCAGGCCUCCGAAUUAUGUGUUCAGGCCGGGAUCUGUCCAUGCUCGACUGACACCUCGCCAUGCUCCGCCCGGGCGCGCUGCGGCUGCGGGGCCUCGCGCUGCGGGACUUCCCCAGGCGCCCAAGCUCCGCUGGCCUCCGGGAAGGACAGGAAAGCCCAGCCUCACCCCCAGAAUGGAAGGACAGAGCAGAGACUGUGAUCAUUGGAGGCGGCUGUGUGGGCGUGAGCCUGGCUUAUCAUCUGGCCAAGGCUGGGAUGAGAGAUGUGGUCCUGAUGGAGAAGUCGGAGCUCACCGCUGGCUCUACCUGGCACGCAGCAGGUUUAACAACUUAUUUUCACCCCGGGAUAAACUUGAAGAAAAUACAUUAUGACAGCAUCAAACUUUACGAGAGGCUGGAAGAAGAAACCGGACAGGUGGUGGGAUUCCAUCAACCAGGUAGUAUCAGGCUUGCUACAACUCCUGUAAGGGUGGACGAAUUUAAAUACCAAAUGACGCGAACCAACUGGCAUGCCACGGAACAGUAUAUUAUCGAGCCUGAAAAAAUCCACGAGCUGUUCCCUUUACUCAACAUGAACAAGAUUUUAGCUGGAUUGUAUAACCCAGGAGAUGGCCACAUUGAUCCUUAUUCUCUGACGAUGGCCCUGGCUGCUGGGGCUAGGAAAUAUGGGGCCCUUCUAAAGUAUCCAGCACCAGUGACAUCUCUGAAGCCCAGGCCAGAUGGGACAUGGGAUGUGGAGACUCCACAAGGAUCUGUGAGAGCAAAUAGGAUUGUGAAUGCUGCAGGAUUUUGGGCUCGUGAAGUGGGUAAAAUGAUUGGACUAGACCAUCCCCUCAUCCCCGUUCAACAUCAAUAUGUCGUCACAUCAACAAUCCCAGAAGUGAAGGCUUUGAAACGAGAGCUGCCAGUCCUCCGCGACCUCGAAGGAUCCUACUAUCUCCGACAGGAAAGGGAUGGGCUUUUGUUUGGUCCCUAUGAGAGUCAGGAGAAGAUGAAACUCCAAGCCUCCUGGGUCACUCACGGAGUCCCUCCAGGCUUUGGAAAGGAACUUUUUGAGUCUGACUUAGACCGAAUCUCAGACCACCUGGAAGCUGCCAUGGAGAUGAUUCCUGUCUUGAAAAAGGCGGACAUCAUCAAUGUCGUCAAUGGCCCUAUCACCUACUCUCCCGACAUUCUGCCUAUGGUGGGGCCCCAUCAGGGGGUCAGAAAUUACUGGGUGGCGAUUGGCUUUGGAUACGGCAUAAUCCAUGCUGGUGGGGUAGGGAAGUUCCUCAGUGACUGGAUCCUGCAUGGAGAACCUCCUUUUGACCUGAUAGAACUGGAUCCCAAUCGCUACGGCAAAUGGACGACGACACAGUACACCGAGGCCAAAGCUCGAGAAUCAUACGGGUUCAACAACAUUGUUGGUUAUCCUAAAGAAGAGCGGUUUGCUGGGAGGCCAACCCAGAGAGUCAGUGGACUCUACAAAACUCUGAAGUCCAAGUGUUCCAUGGGCUUCCAUGCAGGCUGGGAACAGCCACAUUGGUUCUAUAAGCCUGGCCAGGACACUCAGUAUAGGCCAAGUUUCCGCCGCACAAACUGGUUUGAGCCGGUGGGCUGUGAGUACAAACAGGUUAUGCAAAGAGUUGGUGUGAUUGACCUGUCUCCAUUUGGCAAGUUCAACAUCAAAGGCCGAGGUUCCACCCAGCUUCUAGACCAUCUCUGUGCUAAUGUCAUCCCCAAGGUGGGUUUUACAAACAUAAGCCACAUGUUGACGCCCAGAGGUCGGGUGUAUGCUGAACUGACUGUUUCCCAGCAGUCUCCUGGGGAGUUCCUGUUGAUCACUGGCUCCGGGUCGGAACUUCACGACCUUAGAUGGAUUGAAGAAGCAGCCUUCAGAGGUGGAUAUGAUGUGGAAAUUCAAAACAUAACCGAUGAGUUUGGGGUCCUGGGAGUUGCAGGGCCAUAUGCAAGGAGAGUCCUUCAGAAGCUGACCUCAGAAGAUCUCAGCGAUGAUGUAUUCAAGUUUCUUCAAACCAAAUCUUUAAACAUCUCAGACAUUCCGGUCACUGCUAUCAGAAUCUCCUAUACCGGUGAGCUGGGCUGGGAGCUGUACCACAGACGAGAAGAUUCUGCGGCGCUUUAUGAGCGCAUCAUGAGUGCCGGCCAGGAGGAGGGCAUCCGCGAUUUUGGAACCUACGCCCUGAACGCUUUGAGACUGGAGAAGGCUUUCCGAGCCUGGGGCUCAGAGAUGAACUGUGACACAAACCCCUUGGAAGCUGGGCUGGAAUAUUUCGUGAAGCUGAAUAAGCCCGCCGACUUCAUAGGGAAGCAAGCCCUGAAGCAGAUUAAAGCCGAGGGGCUAAAGCGGAGACUGGUCUGCCUCACCUUGGCAACGGACGAUGUGGAUCCGGAGGGAAAUGAAAGCAUUUGGUACAAGGGCAAGGUGGUUGGCAACACAACAUCUGGAAGCUACAGUUACAGCAUCCAGAAGAGCCUGGCUUUUGCUUAUGUCCCAGUCCAGCUCAGUGAAGUGGGACAGCAAGUGGAGGUUGAACUACUGGGUAAAAAUUACCCAGCCACCAUUAUACAAGAACCCCUGGUACUCACGGAGCCUGCCCGAGCCCGGCUUCAGAAACAUGGUAAAAAGACAAAUCUGGAGAAAGGCCCAUCCCGGAUGACCAAGUUGUAGCUGACAGAACUGCUCUUGGGUCCUGCUCCUGCCAGGAUAAAGGUAGCCAAGACUUCACUUCAAAAAUCAUCAAAAUCCAGAUCAGUAUCUUGGUAAAACCUUUCCAUUGUUUCCCAAACAGAAUGGUUUGAUGAAUUAAUGAUUUGCAUUGUCCAUUCAAAUGAAUUUAAGACAAACACUUUUCAUUACUUUUAUUGCUUUUUAUUACUGGCGUUUAUGAAACCCAGUCAGAGAAACAUUAGGUGUUUGCCAAUAUGAAAUCCUGAUUCUAGUGGGAUUAAAGGACUCUGUGAUGUUAGGAAGAUGGUAUAUGGCUGAUAGCUGAGAACAAAUGAAUAAAUUAUGUUUCACAGAAACAGAUGCAAUGACAGGGACAGACUUGCUUUAUUGAGAGAUUUCACCUUGAGUGGAAAAGUGAUAGAUUUAAUGUUUCAUAAUAUGUCCAUGAUGGAAAUAGCACUUCUUAUCACUGUGUUACAUCCAUCCUCAUGCCGUGCUCUCAAAUGUUUCCCAGUUUCUUUGUGGCUCCUGCAGAAAGCGGCUCUAAAGACAUUGUGCUGCCUUUCCUAAGCUGCUUCCUACACAGGGGUUGCAGAGAGAAGAACCUUCCGGAGGAAGCUGGACUUGUAAACAGCCAGAAACCAAGUCGAAGACUAAAUAGAUUAUGCCAGCACAAACACAGUGUGAAUACUGAGUGGCUCUCCUUGAGCAAGAAUUAAUGCAAGCUGACAUCACAUGCUGCCCUUCUGAGGAGCUUUCACAAAGCAUUUGACAACACAGUUUCGAGCUUUUUCUGGGUAUUAAAGAAAUCUGGACUUGAAGCUUUGUAAGACUCUAAAAUGAGUUCUUACCCUGUAAGUUUGGAAAUGACAGCAACUUUACAUUUUAAAUGUUCCAUCGGAGUAACCAUAUAUUAAGAUCAUCUCUCACCAUUUGUUCCUUUUGAUCCUGGCGAAAAGUCUAGACAUGUGUUCCCCGGACCUCUGUGCUUUCUCUUUCUCUGAAGGCGUCUCCCUUCCACGGUGCGGGUGCUUUCUGACCGCGGCUGCCUACAGCGGGCUGCAAACAGCGGGGCUUUUUCUUUUCCUGUUCUCCAUCCUCUUCCUGGCAUUUACCAAGAUUUACAGCUUGCCCACUCUGUUGACUUUCUCUCAGACGCUAAUAAAAUCGUUCUUAAGCUUC